rnacentral:rRNA from 1 species
AGAGUUUGAUCCUGGCUCAGGAUGAAUGCUGGCGGCGUGCCUAACACAUGCAAGUCGAGCGGUAACGUGAAUAAUUUAUUAUUUGAUGACGAGCGGCGGACGGCUGAGUAACGCGUGGGAACAUGCCCCAAAGUGAGGGAUAAGCUCCAGAAAUGGAGUCUAAUACCGCAUAUGAUCUUCGGAUUAAAGGAUUUAUCCGCUUUGGGAGUGGCCUGCGUACGAUUAGAUAGUUGGUGAGGUAAUGGCUUACCAAGUCUACGAUCGUUAGCUGGUCUGAGAGGAUGACCAGCCAGACUGGAACUGAGACACGGUCCAGACUCCUACGGGAGGCAGCAGUGAGGAAUCUUCCACAAUGGGCGAAAGCCAGAUGGAGCAACGCCGCGUGCAGGAUGAAGGCCCUCGGGUCGUAAACUGCUUUUAUAAGUGAAGAAUAUGACGGUAACUUAUGAAUAAGCACCGGCUAACUACGUGCCAGCAGCCGCGGUCAUACGUAGGGUGCAAGCAUUAUCCGGAGUGACUGGGCGUAAAGAGUUGCGUAGGUGGACAAGUAAGCGAAUAGUGAAAUCCGACGGCUCAACCGUAUGGACUAUUACUCGAACUGCUUGUCUCGAGAAUGGUAGAGGUAACUGGAAUUUCUAGUGUAGGAGUGAAAUCCGUAGAUAUUAGAAGGAACACCAAUGGCGUAGGCAGGUUACUGGACCAUUUCUGACACUGAGGCACGAAAGCGUGGGGAGCGAACCGGAUUAGAUACCCUGGUAGUCC